GAUAUUCCAGUGCAUUUACAUUCAAUAUAUACUGUACCUUGAGUGAGGUAGAAAUGCAUAUUGUUGCAAAUAUAAAUACUGUUAAUUUGUUAUUUUUUGUAAUUAAUCAUUUACUGAAUUUCUUUGUAGAAUAUGUUACUAUUAUUUGGGUUUUUGUUCUCUGCAUAACUGUCUCUUUCACCUAUAUUAAUUCCUCAGCAUUCAAGAUGUUUGUAGGGUCCUCACCUCAGCUACCUCUCACAAGGUGCCCCUGAAAAAGAAAUUCAAGACGUUUGGGUCCUCAGCUCAACUGACCAAGACCUUUGCUCAUUGAAGGCAUGAAGUAAUUUGUGAUGCCCCCACGAUUGCAGUUUUUAAAUCCAGAUGGCUUGCUCUUUUUAACAUGUGCGAGAGCUGGAUGGUCUUUCAACAACACUGCUCCGGGUCUUCAGCAAGAAAGGUGCUUCUCAUGCAAGGAAGAUACAGAGGAUCCUGGUGCCCAUGACUCAGACUGACAACAUUGAUGUGAAGAGGGAGUGCAUGCUGAGGAGCUGACGGUCUACCUGAAUGAAGAGCCAGACAAAGUGGAUGUUGAUCUGGACGGUCCAGCUGAAACGUAUUGUCUUCGUGUGCGUGUGAUCGGCAGAGAGUCCUCAACGACAUUGGUAACGUACCUGUGGCCAUUGCAGUGUUUGUUUUGGUUUAUGAUCUUAAUCUCUGUUACCUUCCAGAAUGGAAGUACACUUUCAAAUUUCUGUUUCAUUCUAACCGUCUGUUUCAUCAGUUUUUGCACUGCUUUUAAAUGUACACUGUGUAAGAUUCUUAGUUGUUUAUUUCCAGAAUUCAUGCUACCCAUUCACUAAUGUUACCUUUUUCAUGAAUACUUAGCACCACCAUUAGGGUGCAUCAGUUGCCCCCUAUGAAAAGAUAUGGCCUUGGCCCUAUAGUAAAAAUGUUCUACACCCAGUAAAAACACACUGUGUAAAAUAUUUUGAAAUUUGGAUGA